CCUACGGGAGGCAGCAGUGGGGAAUAUUGGACAAUGGGCGCAAGCCUGAUCCAGCAAUGCCGCGUGUGUGAAGAAGGUCUUAGGAUUGUAAAGCACUUUCGACGGGGACGAUGAUGACGGUACCCGUGGAAGAAGCCCCGGCUAACUUCGUGCCAGCAGCCGCGGUAAUACGAAGGGGGCUAGCGUUGCUCGGAAUGACUGGGCGUAAAGGGCGCGUAGGCGGAGUUAUCAGUCAGACGUGAAAUUCCUGGGCUUAACCUGGGGGCUGCGUUUGAGACGGUAAUUCUAGAGUGAGGAAGAGGGUUGUGGAAUUCCCAGUGUAGAGGUGAAAUUCGUAGAUAUUGGGAAGAACACCGGUGGCGAAGGCGGCAACCUGGUCCUUGACUGACGCUGAGGCGCGAAAGCGUGGGGAGCAAACAGGAUUAGAUACCCUGGUAGUCCACGCUGUAAACGAUGUGUGCUGGAUGUUGGGCAACAUAGUUGUUCAGUGUCGUAGCUAACGCGAUAAGCACACCGCCUGGGGAGUACGGCCGCAAGGUUGAAACUCAAAUGAAUUGACGG
rnacentral:rRNA from 1 species